GAGAUAUAUUGAGACCUUGACAGUUGUCUACCUAUAGUUCGUGUCAUUCACGAUGACGCGCAGAUUUGUAAAAUCUAACCUUUAUUAACAUGACAAUACGAGUCAAGGCACGCGUCUGCGUGAAUGACACGAUCUAUACCAUAACACGCUCAUGCGUUUCCGUGAAAAUACGAUGGUAAAGUAUUAUGCAC